ACAUAUUCAGAAGGCAUCUCACUGGAGAGGGUUUAGUUCUCCUUAGCAGAAGAUAAGAUUUCAAGAUUUCAGCUAAGACUCAUCUCUCUGCAAAUCUUUCUUUUGAGAGCAUCUUCACCAGGAGGAGAUUCCAUCUCAAGAGACCACUUUCACUGCUCAUAUGUAAGAAGCAACUCUUCAUCUGUUCAAGUUUGAUCAUGAGAGUGCGGCAAUUCAGUCACAACUUCAGGCUCCACUUCUAGUUCUAGUUCUCUUGCUGUUUCCACCACAUCUACAGCGACUUCCUCCACUGAAGACGUGAACCCCUGAAAGUCAUCUAUGGGGGUUGGAAUCAAUGUCUUUCACACUCCUGUUAAUGUUGGUAUUUUGACCUCCUCCCAUGAAUUACAAAUGUUCCUAAUGGCAUCUAGAAUAAUGACUACUUUCCAGAAGCUUUUCAAUUUGCUUUGCUCAGAUCCAUCAAUGGAAUCACUAUCAAUGGUAGCUAUAUAAACUAUAUAAGGCUAUAUAUAUAUAUAUAGCUAUUUCUUAAUAGCCUUAUGAAAUAUAUUUCUUAAUAAGACUUGAAAGUCUUGGUCCAUGGACUGCAGAAUGGAUGUUUGUGUUAGCAGGGAUGAAAACAACAUGAAUAUUCUCGUACAUCUCCAACACAGCUCUUGAUCGACAUGGUGCAGAGCAGUAAUAUUUUGAAAGGAAUCUUUUUUUCUGAGCAAUAGUUCUCAAUAGUGGGCUUGAAAUAUUCAGUAAACCAUGCUGUAAACAGAUGUGUUGUCAUCCAGGCUUUAUUGUUCCAUUUAUGGAGCACAGAUAGAGUAGAUUUCGCAUAAUUCUUAAUGACACCAGGAUUUACAAAAUAGUAAAUGAACAUUUACUUCAACUUAAAGUCAUCAGCUGCAUUCACCUCUAAAAAGAGAGUCAGCCUGUCCUGUGGAGCUUUGCAGCUUGCCUUGACAUCUCCUCUCUAGCUGUGAAAGUCCUGGAUGGCAUCUUCUUCCAACAUAAGACUGUUUUGUCUACACUGAAAAUCUGUUGUUUCGUGUAGACACUUUCAUCAAUUAUCUUAUCUAGAUUUUCUGGAUAACUUGCCACAGCUUCUCCCUUUGCACUUGCUGCUUCAUCUUGCAUUUUUAUGUUAUGGAGAUGUUGUCUUUCAUUAAACCUCACAAACCAACCUCCGCUAGCUUCAAACUUUUCUUCUGCAGCUUCCUCACCUCUCUCCGCCUUCAUAGCAUUGAAGAGAGUUAGAGUCUUGCUCUGGAUUAGGCUUUGACUUAAGGAAAUGUUGUGGCUGGUUGGAUCUUUUCUCCAGACCACUCAAACUUUCUCCAUAUUAGCAAUAUGGCUGCUUUGUUUUCUCUUCAUUUGCA
rnacentral:lncRNA from 1 species